CGACGAAGGCCGCCGCGUCCUCGGCGCACCCGACGUGCGCCACCCCGACCUCCACCGUCGGCUUGCUGCACCGGCCCUCGCCCUGGACCGCGGCGGACAUGACGAAGCCGCGGUAGUUCCCCAGGGGCCACUUGCUCAGGUCGCCGCUGCCUCUCGGGCUGCACCCCGGCGUGCCGCCCCGGCUGAGCGGCUGCGCGGCGGUCAGGUCGAUGGCGAACUUGCCGCCCUUGGACGAGGGGAUGGAGGAGUCGGCGAGGGCGACGGCGGCGUGGUCCACGCCGGGGACGAGGAGGUCGAAGCGGUAGCCCAGGCUGUCGGACGCGCCGGCGCCGCGGCGGUCGCGCCAGCACUCGA
rnacentral:misc_RNA from 1 species